AGUUUAUAGAGGUACGAGUAUGUAAAGUAAAUUUUCUCUCACAAUUAAACAGACUAGUUUUAAACUUUUAGCAAUAAACAAUUAAAUUAUUUGACCUCUUAUCCGUAUCCCAUUGAAAAUAUAAGUUACCAAUUACCCCAAAGCAUACUAAAAACAAAUUUCCAACAUGCACCAUCUCAAAGGAACCCAAACAAAGGGCAUAAUGAAAUGCCAUCAGUUACAUGAAAACUAAACCAAUAAUGCCCAAUCAUGACGAUCCAACAGUUUACAAUGUUUGCAACAUCCACAGCUAUAAUGGCAUGGAGAAUAAGUCAAAUUUAUGAGCCACACAAAAUCGUAUAAGCCACAAAUCAAAAUGCAAUACAAAAGCGCCAAAGCUGCGGCAGCAGCGCCUACAACAACGAUGAAAAUCUGGGUUCGUUGGCAGCAAAAACAACAAAUAAAACAUUAACAAUUCCAAAUGCAACAGAAACAACAAUUAUGUAUCAAGUAGAAAGCAAUUGUAAAUUUCGUAACUAAAGUCAUAUUGUCUAUGCAUUUAUCAAAUGUCUGUGUCUGUCGGUCUGCUUCUGAGCGUGUGUCUAUCUGUGUUUUGGCGGAUGCCAUAAAUAAAACUCAGCUAAAAGAUAGACAGUAGAGACCAUCAGACAUAACAUACUCGUAUGAAGGGGAAAGAGAGAGAGAGAGACAGAGAGAGAGAGAGAAAGAGAGUGGAGAUGAGGCAAGGGCAAAGUCUCAAGUCGGAAAUUGUUUCGCAACGUGGGAAAUGUUUGAUUUAUGUGUGUUUUUCUAGUGACCCGAGCGCACCACGUACACUGAGAAAGAAAAUUGCUCGUUAGUAAGGAAUAUAACUUUUGAGAUAGAAGGCGAACCAGAAUUCCAAACGAUUAUAAAAGCACUAUUCCCAAUUCCCUGUAAAAGCUUCUCUUCCACAAUAUCAAGAAUGAAAAAUAUUAAAGAAAUUUGUUGUAUGAUAACAAAUUCUAACAAUAAAAUUUGUAUUAACAAAUGUUAAAUACCGUCGCAACUUUAUAAUAGAAAAUCUGAAAUUCAUUAUAUUAACAUCGAAUUAACCUACAAUGGAGGUCUACUUUGAGGUUUUCGAAAGAGUUUGAAGGUCAAGGCCCCCGCAAGGCUACCGCAUCGCACAGGAAAAGACGGCCCCCGAAGAAGAGAUACAAACACAGAAGUUGUAAAAUGUGUAAUUGAUGAUGUGGCAAAAAGGACAUAAAAAGAAAACAGAAUACGAAACUUCCUUGUAAAUAUGCUAUUAAUGUGUCCUCACCCACUGCCUGGAUUUUGUUGACAUUUUCGACAAAACAUCUACAAAAUGUCGGGAGAAAUGAACAACAAUGGCAGCCAGAAGCAGGACCUGCUGUAGGAUAAGUGCAUUUGGAGUGCAGGACACGGAGCGCGUGACGACAUGCAAAGUGCCGAAGAAGCAGGGGUAGAAGUAGAGACGGGACGGCCAACUAAGCCAAACGGAAAAGCAAACUGCAUGCAGGAAAAAAAGAGAAGGGAAUGUAAUGUUGACCAUUUGGCAAGCAGCACGAAAAGUCAUUUUGUUUCCCAGAAACGGAAGGAAAGGACACGAGACACCUUGCUUGUUAUCCCAGUAAAU